ACGGGUGAGUAAUGUCUGGGAAACUGCCCGAUGGAGGGGGAUAACUACUGGAAACGGUAGCUAAUACCGCAUAACGUCUUCGGACCAAAGUGGGGGACCUUCGGGCCUCACACCAUCGGAUGUGCCCAGAUGGGAUUAGCUAGUAGGUGGGGUAACGGCUCACCUAGGCGACGAUCCCUAGCUGGUCUGAGAGGAUGACCAGCCACACUGGAACUGAGACACGGUCCAGACUCCUACGGGAGGCAGCAGUGGGGAAUAUUGCACAAUGGGCGCAAGCCUGAUGCAGCCAUGCCGCGUGUAUGAAGAGGGCCUUCGGGUUGUAAAGUACUUUCAGCGGGGAGGAAGGCGAUGCGGUUAAUAACCGCGUCGAUUGACGUUACCCGCAGAAGAAGCACCGGCUAACUCCGUGCCAGCAGCCGCGGUAAUACGGAGGGUGCAAGCGUUAAUCGGAAUUACUGGGCGUAAAGCGCACGCAGGCGGUCUGUCAAGUCGGAUGUGAAGUCCCCGGGCUUAACCUGGGAACUGCAUUCGAAACUGGCAGGCUUGAGUCUCGUAGAGGGGGGUAGAAUUCCAGGUGUAGCGGUGA
rnacentral:rRNA from 1 species